rnacentral:rRNA from 1 species
AGUCGAGAAUCUUCGGCAAUGGGCGCAAGCCUGACCGAGCGACGCCGCGUGGAGGAUGAAGGCCCUCGGGUUGUAAACUCCUGUCGAGGGGGAACAAGGUGCCGUGCAGAGCGGCGCUUGAGUGAUCCCUGGAGGAAGCACGGGCUAAGUUCGUGCCAGCAGCCGCGGUAAGACGAACCGUGCGAACGUUAUUCGGAAUCACUGGGCUUAAAGCGCGUGUAGGCGGGCCGGCACGUCGGCUGCUGAAAGCCCCCGGCUCAACCGGGGAACGGGCACCGAUACGACCGGCCUGGAGGGGGGUAGGGGGAGCCGGAACUCACGGUGGAGCGGUGAAAUGCGUUGAGAUCGUGAGGAACGCCCGUGGCGAAAGCGGGCUCCUGGACCCCACCUGACGCUGAGACGCGAAAGCCAGGGGAGCGAA